AGAAUCAACGCUGGCGGCGUGCCUCAGACAUGCAAGUCGAACGCGAAAGUCCCCUUCGGGGGAUAAGUAGAGUGGCGCACGGGUGAGUAACACGUAGGUAAUCUACCUUCGGAUGGGGAAUAACAACCGGAAACGGUUGCUAAUACCGCAUAAUGCAGCGGCACCUAAUGGUGACAGUUGUUAAAGCGGGGGAUCGAAAGACCUCGCGUCUGAAGAGGAGCCUGCGGCGGAUUAGCUAGUUGGUAAGGUAAUGGCUUACCAAGGCGACGAUCC
rnacentral:rRNA from 1 species